GCUUCACUCCUGUAGCACACACACUGACAUUGGAAUACUACAGAGAAGAUUAGCAUCACCCCUGUGCAUAGAUGACUCACAAAUUUGUAAAGCUGCCACAAAUUUGU
rnacentral:snRNA from 1 species